UCUCCGUUGGUGAACCAGCGGAGGGAUCAUUACCGAGUUUACAACUCCCAAACCCCUGUGAACAUACCUAUCGUUGCCUCGGCGGUGCCCGCUCCGGCGGCCCGCCAGAGGACCCCCAAACUCUUGUUUUAUACAGUAUCUUCUGAGUAACACGAUUAAAUAAAUCAAAACUUUCAACAACGGAUCUCUUGGUUCUGGCAUCGAUGACGCAGC
rnacentral:misc_RNA from 1 species